AUUGAACGCUGGCGGCAGGCCUAACACAUGCAAGUCGAACGAGUGGCGGACGGGUGAGUAAUGUCUGGGAAACUGCCCGAUGGAGGGGGAUAACUACUGGAAACGGUAGCUAAUACCGCAUACCAUCGGAUGUGCCCAGAUGGGAUUAUCUUGUAGGUGAGGUAACGGCUAACCUAGGCGACGCUCCCUAGCUGGUCUGAGAGGAUGACCAGCCACAAUGGAACUGAGACACGGUCGAGACUCCUACGGGAGGGAGAAGUGGGGAAUAUUGUGCAAGGGGCGCAAGGCGGAUGCAGCCAUGCCGCGUGGAUGAAGAAGGCCGUCGGGUUGUAAAGUACUUGCAGCGGGGAUGCGUUACCCGCAGAAGAAGCACAGGCGAACUCCGUGCCAGCAUCCGCGUUAAUAC
rnacentral:rRNA from 1 species